rnacentral:rRNA from 1 species
AGAUUGAACGCUGGCGGCAUGCCUUACACAUGCAAGUCGAACGGCAGCACGGGAGCAAUCCUGGUGGCGAGUGGCGAACGGGUGAGUAAUAUAUCGGAACGUGCCCAGUCGUGGGGGAUAACGCAGCGAAAGCUGCGCUAAUACCGCAUACGAUCUAUGGAUGAAAGCGGGGGACCGUAAGGCCUCGCGCGAUUGGAGCGGCCGAUAUCAGAUUAGGUAGUUGGUGGGGUAAAGGCUCACCAAGCCAACGAUCUGUAGCUGGUUUGAGAGGACGACCAGCCACACUGGACUGAGACACGGCCCAGACUCCUACGGGAGCAGCAGUGGGAAUUUUGGACAAGUGGGCGCAAGCCCGUAGACUCCAGCAAGUGCCGCGUGCAGGAAGAGGCCGUUCGGUUAGUAAACGUGUCUUUUGACCGAACGGAACGAACCGGUU